rnacentral:tRNA from 1 species
AAGUUUGAAGCGAACCGCAAUUAGUUUCGACCUAAUCAUUGGUAAUAAAUAUUACCCAAACUUA